AUAACCCUAAGUAUUUUUAGUUCGAUCAUGGCUCCCAAAAAUUAUAACCUAAUUUUUUGGAAAUUUCUCUUCGUGGUUGUGUUUAUGUUCGGAGGCCAUUCGGUUGUCGGAAGACUUGUUGGCGCCCAUACAUCUCCUUCAACUUACGAGAAAGAUGCUGAGGUUGGGGCUAUUUAUGAAGGUCGGCUUCUGAAUGAUGACCCAAGAAAUGGCAAUUAUUUAUCUCAUCGUCCAUAAGCAGAGACGAAGGCCAUUAUUUUUCUCUUUUAUUUGGUUGUAAUGGAGAUUAGGGUUUGUAGAAAGAAACCCUUUUAAUAAUCUUUUCCAUAAUUAUACCAUAUUAUAUAUAUUCAUAAAAAUAAGCAAUUCCCUCAACA